CACGUAGUUAGCCGUGGCUUACGCAAGGUACCGUCCCUCCCGAAACGUGUUAGGUCUCGGGCAUUCUUCCCUUGCUUGCGAGGUUUACAUCCCGAAGGAUUUCCUCCCUCACGCGGCGUUGCUGGGUCAGGCUUUCGCCCAUUGCCCAAAAUUCCCCA
rnacentral:rRNA from 1 species